rnacentral:rRNA from 1 species
GCAUAUCAAUAAGCGGAGGAAAAGAAACCAACAGGGAUUGCCCUAGUAACGGCGAGUGAAGCGGCAACAGCUCAAAUUUGAAAUCUGGCCUCACGGUCCGAGUUGUAAUUUGUAGAGGAUGCUUCUGGCGACGUGCCUUCCGAGUUCCCUGGAACGGGACGCCAUAGAGGGUGAGAGCCCCGUCCGGUCGUGCACCUAGCCUCUGUGAAGCUCCUUCGACGAGUCGAGUAGUUUGGGAAUGCUGCUCUAAAUGGGAGGUAUACGUCUUCUAAAGCUAAAUACCGGCCAGAGACCGAUAGCGCACAAGUAGAGUGAUCGAAAGAUGAAAAGCACUUUGAAAAGAGGGUUAAAUAGUACGUGAAAUUGCUGAAAGGGAAGCGCUUAUGACCAGACUUGGGCUCGGUGAAUCAUCCGGCGUUCUCGCCGGUGCACUUUGCCGUCCCAGGCCAGCAUCAGUUCGCGCCGGGGGAUAAAGGUUUCGGGAAUGUAGCUCCCUCGGGAGUGUUAUAGCCCGUUGCGUAAUACCCUGGCGUGGACUGAGGUCCGCGCUCUGCAAGGAUGCUGGCGUAAUGGUCAUCAGUGACCCGUCUUGAAACACGGACCAAGGAGUCGUCUUCGUAUGCGAGUGUUCGGGUGUCAAACCCCUACGCGUAAUGAAAGUGAACGUAGGAGAGAGCUUCGGCGCAUCUCCGACCGAUCCUGAUGUUCUCGGAUGGAUUUGAGUAAGAGCAUACGGGGCCGGACCCGAAAGAAGGUGAACUAUGCCUGUAUAGGGUGAAGCCAGAGGAAACUCUGGUGGAGGCUCGCAGCGGUUCUGACGUGCAAAUCGAUCGUCAAAUAUGGGCAUGGGGGGCGAAAGACUAAUCGAACCUUCUAGUAGCUGGUUUCCGCCGAA